GAUGAACGCUGGCGGCGUGCUUAACACAUGCAAGUCGAACGGGAAACCUUUUAUUGAAGCUUCGGCAGAUUUAGCUGGUUUCUAGUGGCGGACGGGUGAGUAACGCGUGGGUAACCUGCCUUAUACAGGGGGAUAACAGUCAGAAAUGGCUGCUAAUACCGCAUAAGCGCACAGAGCUGCAUGGCUCAGUGUGAAAAACUCCGGUGGUAUAAGAUGGACCCGCGUUGGAUUAGCUGGUUGGUGGGGUAACGGCCCACCAAGGCGACGAUCCAUAGCCGGCCUGGGAGGGGGAACGGCCACAUUGGGAUGGGGACCAGGCCCAGACCCCCAGGGGGGGCGGGGGGGGGGAAAAUUGGAAAAGGGGGGAAACCCUGAAGCGGCGAGGCCGGGUGAAGGAAAAAGUAUCUGGGUAUGAAAACCUCUUUCCACGGGGAAGAAAAGACGGUAACCGGAAAAAAAAGCCCGGCUAAACACGGG
rnacentral:rRNA from 1 species